CAGGGAAUAGCCUUUCGAAAAGAAAGGAUUAAUACCUGAUUAGUACUUUUUUCAAGGCAUCUUGAGAAAGUUAAAGAUUUAUUGGUUAUGGAUGGGGAUGCGUUCCAUUAGAUAGUUGGUGAGGUAACGGCUCACCAAGUCUUCGAUGGAUAGGGGUUCCUGAGAGGAAGGUCCCCCACAUUGGUACUGAGACACGGACCAAACUCCUACGGGAGGCAGCAGUGGAGGAAUAGUUGGGUCAAUGGGCGAGAGCCUGAACCAGACCCAAGUAGCGUGAAGGAUGAAAGGUCCUUAUGGGUUGGUAAACUGCUUUUCCCCGGGAAGAAUAAGCCCCUCGUUGAGGGGUGAUGCCGGUACCGGGGGAAUAAGGAUCGGCUAACUCCGUGCCAGCCGCCGC
rnacentral:rRNA from 1 species